rnacentral:rRNA from 1 species
UACGUAGGGUGCAAGCGUUGUCCGGAAUCACUGGGUGUAAAGCGCGUGUAGGCGGCCUGCCAAGUCUGCUGUGAAAGCGCCUGGCUUAACCGGGCGAGGUCGGUGGAAACUGGCGGGCUGGAGGCUGGUAGAGGGGGGUGGAAUUCCCGGUGUAGUGGUGAAAUGCGUAGAGAUCGGGAGGAACACCAGUGGCGAAGGCGACACGCUGGGCCGUACCUGACACUGAUGCGCGACAGCAUGGGGAGCAAACAGG